rnacentral:rRNA from 1 species
CCUACGGGAGGCAGCAGUGAGGAAUAUUGGUCAAUGGGCGAGAGCCUGAACCAGCCAAGUAGCGUGAAGGAUGACUGCCCUACGGGUUGUAAACUUCUUUUAUAAAGGAAUAAAGUGAGGCACGUGUGCCUCUUUGUAUGGACUCUAUGAAUAAGGAUCGGCUAACUCCGUGCCAGCAGCGGCGGUAAUACGGAGGAGCCGAGCGUUGUCCGGAUUUAUUGGGUUUAAAGGGAGCGUAGAUGGGUUGUUAAGUCAGUUGUGAAAGUUUGCGGCUCAACCGUAAAAUUGCAAUUGAUACUGGCAGUCUUGAGUACAGGUGAGGUAGGCGGAAUUCGUGGUGUAGCGGUGAAAUGCUUAGAUAUCACGAAGAACUCCGAUUGCGAAGGCAGCUUACUAAACUGCAACUGACAUUGAGGCUCGAAAGUGUGGGUAUCAAACAGGAUUAGAUACCCUUGUAGUC